rnacentral:rRNA from 1 species
UACGAAGGGGGCUAGCGUUGUUCGGAAUCACUGGGCGUAAAGCGCACGCAGGCGGAUUGAUAAGUCAGGGGUGAAAUCCCGAGGCUCAACCUCGGAAUUGCCUUUGAUACUGUCUAUCUUCGAGUCCGGGAGAGGUGAGUGGAACUGCGAGUGUAGAGGUGAAAUUCGUAGAUAUUCGCAAGAACACCAGUGGCGAAGGCGGCUCACUGGCCCGGUACUGACGCUGAGGUGCGAAAGCGUGGGGAGCAAAGCAGGG